UACGUAGGGGGCAAGCGUUUGUCCGGAAUUAUUGGGCGUAAAGCGCGCGCAGGCGGUCCUUUAAGUCUGAUGUGAAAUCUUGCGGCUCAACCGCAAGCGGGUCAUUGGAAACUGGGGGACUUGAGUACAGAAGAGGAAAGCGGAAGUUCCAACGUGUAGCGGUGAAAUGGCGUAGAGAUGAUGGAGGAACACCAGUGGCGAAGGCGACUCUUUGGUCUGUAACUGACGCUGGAGGCGACGAAAGCCGUGGGGAGCAAACAAGG
rnacentral:rRNA from 1 species